rnacentral:lncRNA from 1 species
GGAUUAUCCAGAAAAACUUUUGUCUCCAAGCAUAAGAGAGAAUUCCUCUCAACACCGUAUCUUCCUUCAUGACCAAGAUGGGAUCUUGGUUAUCAAACUACACAAACAUCGCACCAGAAUCACUCUUUCUAGACAAAGAGGAUCAAUAAUUUCACGAGGGGCGGUAUACAAGACGAGAUUUUUAUCGCCCAAAACGGACCGACA